rnacentral:rRNA from 1 species
UACGGGGGGAGCAAGCGUUGUUCGGAUUUACUGGGCGUAAAGGGCGCGUAGGCGGCCAGCACAAGUCAGUUGUGAAAUCUCCGAGCUUAACUCGGAACGGUCAACUGAUACUGUGCGGCUAGAGUGCGGAAGGGGCAACUGGAAUUCUUGGUGUAGCGGUGAAAUGCGUAGAUAUCAAGAGGAACACCUGCGGCGAAGGCGGGUUGCUGGGCCGACACUGACGCUGAGGCGCGAAGGCGUGGGGAGCGAACAGG